AUUGAACGCUGGCGGCAGGCCUAACACAUGCAAGUCGAACGAGUGGCGGACGGGUGAGUAAUGUCUGGGAAACUGCCCGAUGGAGGGGGAUAACUACUGGAAACGGUAGCAAAUACCGCAUACCAUCGGAUGUGCCCAGAUGGGCUUAGCUAGUAGGUGGGGGAACGGCUCACCUAGGCUACGAUCCCUAGCUGGUCUGAGAGGAUGACCAGCCACACUGGAAAUGAGAGACGGUCCAGACUCCUACGGGAGGCAGCAGUGGGGAAUAUUGCACAAUGGGCGCAAGCCUGAUGCAGCCAUGCCGCGUGUGUGAAGAAGGCCUUCGGGUUGUAAAGUACUUACAGCGAGGAAGCGUUACUCGCAGAAAAAGCACCGGCUAACUCCGUGCCAGCAGCCGCGGUAAUUC
rnacentral:rRNA from 1 species